GGAGAGGACAGGAGGCAGGCAAGGGCUUCGGUUUGUGGGCGAAGGCUUCGGUUUGCGGAGGUACAGCAAAGCUUUGAAGUGGCAGUGUGAGGGCGUGCGGUUGCAAAGUCAUGACUGCGUGCACUGGGAAAACAGGAAGGAAGACCGCCGCCGCUGCUUCCUCCUCGAACCUCCAGCCAGCCAUUUUAGAAGCCGAGGGUUCGAGCGCGAGCAGGACAAACUUUACGGCCGCUCCUCGCGGCUGCUGACGACGACCGGACAUCGCUUUGAGGAUGCAUUUCUUUGAAUCUUUCAAGAAA